ACGGGUGCGUAACGCGUGGGAAUCUACCCUUGGGUUCGGAAUAACAGUUGGAAACGACUGCUAAUACCGGAUGAUGACGAAAGUCCAAAGAUUUAUCGCCCAGGGAUGAGCCCGCGUAGGAUUAGCUAGUUGGUGAGGUAAAGGCUCACCAAGGCUACGAUCCUUAGCUGGUCUGAGAGGAUGAUCAGCCACACUGGGACUGAGACACGGCCCAGACUCCUACGGGAGGCAGCAGUAGGGAAUAUUGGACAAUGGGGGCAACCCUGAUCCAGCAAUGCCGCGUGAGUGAUGAAGGCCUUAAGGUUGUAAAGCUCUUUUACCCGAGAUGAUAAUGACAGUAUCGGGAGAAUAAGCUCCGGCUAACUCCGUGCCAGCAGCCGCGGUAAUACGGAGGGAGCUAGCGUUGUUCGGAAUUACUGGGCGUAAAGCGCACGUAGGCGGCGAUUUAAGUCAGAGGUGAAAGCCCGGGGCUCAACCCCGGAACUGCCUUUGAGACUGGAUUGCUAGAAUCUUGGAGAGGCGGGUGGAAUUCCGAGUGUAGAGGUGAAAUUCGUAGA
rnacentral:rRNA from 1 species